GGUCCAGACUUUGAUCAUGGCUCAGGAUGAACGCUAGCUACAGGCUUAACACAUGCAAGUCGAGGGGCAGCGGGAUUGAAGCUUGCUUCAAUUGCCGGCGACCGGCGCACGGGUGAGUAACGCGUAUCCAACCUUCCGUACACUCAGGGAUAGCCUUUCGAAAGAAAGAUUAAUACCUGAUGGUAUGAUGAGAUUGCAUGAUAGCAUCAUUAAAGAUUUAUCGGUGUACGAUGGGGAUGCGUUCCAUUAGGUAGUAGGCGGGGUAACGGCCCACCUAGCCAACGAUGGAUAGGGGUUCUGAGAGGAAGGUCCCCCACAUUGGAACUGAGACACGGUCCAAACUCCUACGGGAGGCAGCAGUGAGGAAUAUUGGUCAAUGGACGAGAGUCUGAACCAGCCAAGUAGCGUGAAGGAUGAAGGUCCUACGGAUUGUAAACUUCUUUUAUAAGGGAAUAAACCCUCCCACGUGUGGGAGCUUGUAUGUACCUUAUGAAUAAGCAUCGGCUAACUCCGUGCCAGCAGCCGCGGUAAUACGGAGGAUGCGAGCGUUAUCCGGAUUUAUUGGGUUUAAAGGGAGCGCAGACGGGUCGUUAAGUCAGCUGUGAAAGUUUGGGGCUCAACCUUAAAAUUGCAGUUGAUACUGGCGUCCUUGAGUGCGGUUGAGGUGUGCGGAAUUCGUGGUGUAGCGGUGAAAUGCUUAGAUAUCACGAAGAACUCCGAUUGCGAAGGCAGCACACUAAUCCGUAACUGACGUUCAUGCUCGAAAGUGUGGGUAUCAAACAGGAUUAGAUACCCUGGUAGUCCACACGGUAAACGAUGGAUACUCGCUGUUGGCGAUAUACUGUCAGCGGCUUAGCGAAAGCGUUAAGUAUCCCACCUGGGGAGUACGCCGGCAACGGUGCAACUCAAAGGAAUUGACGG
rnacentral:rRNA from 1 species